GACGGGGCCGCACAAGCGGUGGAGCAUGUGGUUUAAUUCGACGCAACGCGAAGAACCUUACCAGGGCUUGACAUCCCCUGACCGUCUAUGAAAGUAGGCUUUCUACCUUCGGGUAGACAGGGAGACAGGUGGUGCAUGGUUGUCGUCAGCUCGUGUCGUGAGAUGUUGGGUUAAGUCCCGCAACGAGCGCAACCCCUACGUUUAGUUGCUAACGCGUGAAGGCGAGCACUCUAGACGAACUGCCGUUGACAAAACGGAGGAAGGUGGGAUGACGUCAAAUCAUCAUGCCCCUUAUGUUCUGGGCUACACACGUGCUACAAUGGCCGGUACAGACGGACGCAAAGCCGCGAGGUGGAGCAAAUCCUAAAAAGCCGGUCUCAGUUCGGAUUGCAGGCUGCAAUUCGCCUGCAUGAAGUCGGAAUCGCUAGUAAUCGUGGAUCAGCACGCCACGGUGAAUACGUUCCCGGGCCUU
rnacentral:rRNA from 1 species